GGGGGAACCUGGAUCCAGCGAUGCCGCGUGAUGUGAAGAAGGCCUGCGGGUUGUAAAGCACUUUGAUUGGGGAGGAAGGGUGUAAGCUGAAUAGGUUUACAGCUUUGACGUUACCCAAAGAACAAGCACCGGCUAACUCUGUGCCAGCAGCCGCGGUAAUACGAA
rnacentral:rRNA from 1 species